CACAUUUCUAAAUGUGCAAAAUUGUCUGUUAUUGUCCACACCUGCAAGUAAUCAGGCACUCUAUAUCUGUGUCCCUAUUUUUGAAUGAACAAAUAUGGCCCCAUUGUUGCAUUCAUUAAUUGAUAGUCCACAACUCAUUGUUACUGUAGCACUGCCCACUUUAUUGAAUAAAACGCAUGUAAUCAGGAACACAGAAAAAACACACAGCACUACAGCGUAGACAAUUUAAAAGGUAUCACUGAACAUGAAGUGUCAUAUUAUGAAGACCAUUUACCAUAUGUACAAUGCAACUGUAACAUAUUUACAGAUUUAUUAAGGCAUAUUAAAAUUUUUACGUACCUACAACAUUUGUAGAUGUCAAACACAUUGUAGUCCAGGCCUUUUGAUGGGGACAUCAUUUUUGCAGAGUAGAAACUCUUUUUUUGGUAAACCUGAUAGGCCAUGCUGCACAGUGGGGACCUAAACAUCAUAAGUAAAGGUAUUAUACAACAGUUAGUUCAGGCCCGGGGCUAGGACAAAGUAACUGGGGGCUGUUAAAAAUGUUGAGGGGGCUAAUGUGUUUUUUGGCAGUUUUUCGACACUGUUGGGGUAUUAAAACUUAAACAGGGGGCUAAGCCCCCUCUUGCCCCCUCGUGGCGCCAGGUCUGUAUUAGUUCCACUUAGUUUCACCCAAUUCGUUUCAAUGGACAAGGGGCAUUCCAUGACUUACUAUUCAGCGUUACCGCACAGGGACUUUUAACUACAUGUAUCACUCCGCUUUACAGGUGUUCUAAUAAACGUUUAGUUUAUGUGUUGCUUGGCAACAGUCAAGUCAGAGUCCAGUUGCAGAACAAUAUACGUUGUCAAAUAAAUGAAUAAAAAAAGAAAAAUCUAUCAGUUGUCAUUAUUUCGGUUAACUAAUAAAUGGCGCUCGCAUAACUGUUGUAUAAAACCCGGCCUGUGGCCUCAUGCCUACGACCAAAUCACAACCGUGAUAUAUUCACAACAACAGCACGACCAAGUGUGAUAUUGCUUAACCUUAAGAUUAACAACAGUCACAUGUUUAAUUUGUUUCAAGUAUAGAGACUAUACCUGUGCACCUGGAAUCAUGUUCGGCAGGGCUUUAUGGAAUUCUUCCAGGCUGCUGCUUCCAUGCAGACACACCUAGUAGGGCAUGUCCACAUUCUUGAUGGCUGUGCUACACGCCACCCUACACAGGUAUAUGUCUGGUAGAAACUGGAUGUACUCCAGGUGUCGCUGCUGGCCUGCCCAAAUCUCAUCAAUGUGUACACUACAAUUCACAUGGAAUAGCCUUCAUUUCACAGAACAAACUGAGAAUAAGAAUAAACUGACGAGUUUCAGAAGAAAGGCCUUGGUUUCUGGCCAUUUUGAGCCUGUAAUCAAACCCACAAUUGCUGAUGCUCCACAUCCUCAACUAGUUUAAAGAAGGCCAGUUUUAUUGCUUUAAUCAGCACAGCAGUGUUCAGCUGUGCUAACAUAAUUGAAAAAUGGUUUUCUAAUGGUCAGUUAGCCUUUUAAAAUGAUAAACUUGGAUUAGCAAAAACAAUGUCACAUUGGAACACAGGACUGAUGUUUAUAUACUGUGGAUAUUGCAUUACAACAUAUGUACACUGGAUUUCUGAUCAAUUUGAUGUUAUUUUAAUGAAAAUAAAAUUUUCUUUUGAAAACAAGGACAUUUCUAAGUAAUCCUAAAAUUCAGAAAAGCAGUGUACAUAUAUACAACAUACAUACAUACCAACUAUUUUGUUAAGAUCUCUUGAAAAAUCUAAAAAGGAAGAAAGUAGACGGUCAUUUCUUAUUGUUGAGUCUCUAUAUUUUUCCCCUACAUGGUUUGGCAUUUGUGCUGCUGAAGAAAAGGCACUGAGUCAACAAUGAUUGGUGAGCCAAAGGUACUUUCCUCCUCUAAACUAUCACUGUUAGGCUGGGACGUUUUGGGACAUACAUCUGCAUGGUUGAUUACUGGUCUUCAGAAACUGUAGUUAUAUGCUCCCUCUCUCUUAUCAUUUCUUCCUGAUUGUUUGACUGUAGGGGGGUGGGGCUUGGAUUCUCUCCAGUGGAUCAGCAGACCUGUCUGGGGCUUGCUGUGUCUGCAGGUUCUAAAUUUAUGAUUUGUGGCUCUACACAUAUUGCAUUUCAUGGGCUGGUCACAGUUUUCUGAGCUACAUUCACUACAUUCUGCAGCAAGGUGGCCUAAAGAACCACAUUUCCUGCAGCCCUUUUAGCUGGCCUGCAUAGAAAACAUGUCCUCUACAUGGUCCUAAUUGGAUAAUUGAUGGCAGGUGUUGCAGUCUAGUUAGGAUACCGUCAUCAUCCCUCAACUCCUUACCACGCAAAACAGUACAGUAAACGGAAAGCCACGUUUGGAUAACUUCUGUCUUGAUUUUCUCUGAAUACAUAACAGCGGUAACUGUUCUGGCGUCUUUCAGAUCGCCGUAUAAAAAGUGGUAAAUGUUUUCAGGUUCAAACGGCCUAUACAGGUUUCAAACAAGGUGAAAGUAGAAAAAAAAAAUCCCUGGCAGGUCAAAGACGUAGUCAAGCUGGUGUGCUGAAAAACCAAGAUCGCUCUGAAUAAGUCGCCUAAACUGGAGUAUGUCCAUCUCCAGAUUCUCUCGAAGUUCAAAUCAGACAGCAUUCUGACGAGUCAUGGACGUCGUGAUUUUUCAACAGGUCUUCACAGCAGUCCUCUUCGAAACUGCAAGCGAGGUUCUUGAAAUCCAACUUGACGAUUGUUCCGUUAGAAAGCCUGGGUGAUGAUCUCGGUGUCUCCCUUGCCAGGUGUUUUGAAACAGCUCACUCCUCUCGUCCAGCCCAGCAUGACCUUUCAGCUCCUCAAUGGCCAGGUGGAUAAUCCUGAACGUUUCCUGAGUGUGACCCCCCCACACGUGGUGUUUGAGGUGCUCCCUGGAAAUGUAGUGGCGGACAACAUCCUCAUCUGACAGCUUUGCCGGGUCCUUGGCUCUGACGGCCUUGAUGAGCAGCUUCAGGUCUGUGCGGUUAUAGGCCAGCACUGCCCCAGCUAGCGCAGACUUGAACGUAGCAUACUUGGAGUGGGACUCUGUGCGUGUGGCUGCGUUUAACCUGUGGAUCCAGGGAAAGAUGUCCAGACGCACAACCAUCCCAUUGUCCACCCAAGGCUGGAACCAAAUCCCCAGCGCUGUUGGGCCCUGC
ensembl:lncRNA